GCUUCAGUGCCACCUGUGGGCAGUGUCCCUCGGCCCCUCUUCCAGGAGCUCUGCGUUCUCGGCCUCCGGCCUUCCCAGCUGCAGCCCUCCUCCUGCCCAGCCAGUCUUCAGCCAGGAGCCACGCCAGAGCCACCAGCACCAGGAACGCCAGGCCCAUCCGGAGGAGGUGGAGCAGAGGAGGACGGACACCCCUGGACGAGUUCAGCCGUCCUCUGCCAGGAGCUCCUCCGGGGAGCCUGGCCUCCUGGUGAAGGCAAAGUCACCUCGCCGCACACAGGCAGGUGCCAACCCACCCUUUCUGCCCCUGGGGUUAUAAGGAAUUCCUGAUCCAUCCUGACUCCCUUCAAAGGAUCCCUGGGCCAGGGCCACCCAGGCAAGGCUGUUUGUCCCGGGCUCAGUGGACACCUCGACAUGUGCCAGGUGCAGAAGCCUUCCGCCUCCCCUUUGCUCAGAAGUGCCGCCACAUACCCGGGGAAUCCGCCGGGUCUGUGGGUGCAAGACUGCUGUUCCCCGCACCUCCUGGAGAGGGAAGGUGAAAGGUUAGGGGUCUUCCCCUCUGCAGUCCCGGUCAUUGACCAGCUGGGUCGCUGAGAUAUGGAGGUCCCGUGCACAUGGCUCCGUCUCUACCUGCGGUUCCCUAGGCUCCAGAAGAGAGGGGAGGUUGGGUGUCCUCACCUGUCACCAGGAGCAUCACCGGAUUGCUGGGGAAGGACCACGCGUGGUUGUUGUAGGAGCCAAAGCAUCUGUAGGUCCCCUGGUGGGCCACGGUCACCGGGCCCACAGGGAACUCUGCCUGUGUGCUCCCGAGGCUACGCUGUGUGCUGCUGGACCUCCCUUCUUUGAGCAGAAAGAAAGUGCUGGUUGCUGUCGCUAGGUGGCAAAAGAAGGUCACGCUGUCCCCCAGGGCCACCUCAGGUCCGGGAUGAACAGAGAGGGUGGGUGUGUCAUACAUUCCUGGGAGAAAAGGUGGCUGGUGGGAGGACAGCACGCUGACCCUGCUCCCCCACCUCCUGUCUCAAAGUCCUCAAGGCCACAGGCCACUCUCGGGAAUCUGUCCCCCUUCCCCUGUCCCAGAUCUGCCCUGGUCACAGCCAUGUCCUACCAAGCACUCCUUCAAGACCGAGGCUCUCAGUGCCCGGCUUCCAGGACUGAGUAGGAAUGUCUCUGGGAGUGGCCCUCGGCCUGUGCUCCUCAGGGCUGAGGGUAGGAUCGGCAGCAUGAUGCCAUACCACAGUCCCCUCCAGAGCCACCACCGCAGACACCCAGGGACGGGACACUCUGUGGUGUUUUUAAAACAUAUUACUUUCCCACUGUGGCCAGACGCGCACAGUGUGACCUUUCCACCUGAGCCACCUCCGUGGACAGUUAGAGCCACUGGUUGCUCACCGCCCAGGCAGUGCUCACCGCCCAGGCAGUGCUCACCGCCACCACCUGUCACCACCAGGUCCUGCUAGGAGUGGGUCAGUCACCUGUCACCACCAGGUCCUGCUAGGAGUGGGUCAGUCACCUGUCACCACCAGGUCCUGCUAGGAGUGGGUGGGUCACCUGUCACCACCAGGUCCUGCUAGGAGUGGGUGGGUCACCUGUCACCACCAGGUCCUGCUAGGAGUGGGUGGGUCACCUGUCACCACCAGGUCCUGCUAGGAGUGGGUGGGUCACCUGUCACCACCAGGUCCUGCUAGGAGUGGGUCGGUCACCUGUCACCACCAGGUCCUGCUAGGAGUGGGUGGGUUACCUGUCACCACCAGGUCCAGGGAGCUGCUGGGCUCGGACCAGAGCUCCCCUCUGCGGUAGAAGCAGUGGUAUUGCCCUGCUGUGCUGGAGGCCAUGGUGGGGAUGAAGAACUUGACUUUGUCCACGAGUCCAGGUGGUCUUGGUCUCUUCAGGGCAGCAACCCCUCCCUCAAAAUGCAGCCGGUACUCCUCAGCCUCCCGGGUGCCCCAGCACCACAGGGUCACCGACUGUCCCUUUGGAACCAUGAAGCUGGGCCUGGCUUGGAUGACGGGUCUCGGGAGGCCCUCUGGAAGGGAAGCGAGGCUGUGGUGCAGGGGAGCCUCCGGCCUGCCCCCCGCUCCCGCCCACCUGCUGGCCCAAGCCCUCCCAGCACCGCGGAGCCUGCCUCCCCCGUGUUCUAGGUGGACGGCUGAACCCUGGGCGACUCUGGGCCUUAGGGGAGGACUCACCACUCUGGAUGCUGGUCCUCAGGCUCAGGUGCAGCCCUGGAACGCAGGCAGUAUGAGGACAGUGCCCACCACACCUGGCCCGGGGCCCUUCCACCAGAGACUCACCGAGGCACAGCAGGGCCACCGGUGUGGGUGGCAUGGCACGAUGCUGCAGGCCGAUGCGGGGCAGCCAGACGGGGACUGGGCAGCCGGAUGGGGACUGAGCCGGCAGUCCAGGGACAGGCACAGGAUGUGGUAGGUGUGGCCGGCGCCCGUGCCCCGGGACUUCCACACCAAGGUUUGACCAGAUGUUCACAGCUCUUCCUCCCCCUCUGGGCCUGGGCCUGGUUUUCUUUUUCUCUAUUUUCUUCCCCACAGUGUCUAGACAAUUUUGAAAGUGAGGUGUUCUGCCCUUGGGUUCCACCCCACGUGUCCUGGGAGACGCCCCUUUCUCCAGCCUGUGCCCUUUGUCUAAUUUACCACCCUCUUCCUUACAGGGGAAUGCUCACGGGGCGCUCCACUCCAGCAGCUCCGGUCAGUGCACGUGGUCAUGGACCACGGUCCGGUCAAACGCAGAACGGCUCCAACCCAGACCAUGGGAAAGUCCGUGCAGCGGUUUUGGGUGAGUGACAGGCACAUGAGGGUGCUGCCUAGACGUAGCCACCUCUGGGGUGUCGGGGAUGGGUCAGGGAGUUUCACACCCCGCCCAAGCUCAGGGUGGCCUGGGUGCUCUCUGUGGGCAGAGGGAGGGAGCUUCCCCAGACCCAGACGUGGUGCUGCUGGGUCCCCAGGGGUUCCCGCGCUGGCCAGCCUGGGAGAAGGGAAGGCAGGUUCCCCUGUUCCCCUCCUGAGUGUCCCAUGGCCUGUGGGGACAACAGCCUGUGUCUCUGCUGUUUAAGGAGCCUUUUGUCCCCACGAGGGCAACUCGAGACUGGCUCUGUCUUCUUUGGGCCAACGCUGUGUUAACUCACACCGUGAGCAGCGUGCAGCUGGGCGUGCAGGCCUGAGGUGCUGGGUCUCCUGCCACCAUCGCCUUUGGGCCACGGCAAUGACCAGCACAGGGGACAGGACCCUCCCCAGGUGGAAGAGGUGUCUGCCCUCGCCCACCAGGUCCUGAAGAGGCGGCGUGCUCAGCCUGGGUCACCCCCCUAGGGUUGGCUUCUGGAAGGUGGAGCAGGAAGCCAGGCAGGGCUCACAUUCAAGGACCAGGCGGAGUCCAUCUGUGGGUGUGAAGGGCCCUGAGGGACAGGAGCAGAGUGUGCGUCCAGGAUAUGGGAUCUUAUGCGACCUGGCAGGGCUUCUCUCCCUCUGCUCCAGUGACAUCGGGGUGGAUGGUCCCUGGGCUGCCCUGUGGUUGGGUGGCUAGCGGCACCUGGGCUCCGCCCUGCUGCCCGGCUCCCCACGCACCCGGCUCUGUGUGUGGUGAGGGUCCCGUCCUCCCUGAUUCCCAGCGCGGCCAGGGCCUCUGCGGCUGUGGCUGAACCUAUGGGGUCUGGGGUCCUACACUGCUUACGAGUGGCCUUCCUCUUCUCGUGUCUUGGUUUUGUUAUUGUCACAUGACACACAACCGUGGGACUCGCUGUGCUCUUCACACACGUAACUGAACUGGCUGCGUCUCAUGCCCCGGACGCGGUCUUCUCCCCAUCUCCCCGUAGCUCACAGCAAACCCACCCGACGCUCGUCUUCCUGAAGAUGAUACAAAAAGCCUAUUCCGUAGUCGGACGCAGGAGGAGGAAAGAACAACCACUGUUGCAUUCCUCCACGCUCCUCAUCUGGGACCCCCUCCGUCUGGCCAGGGGUGCCCAGCCCAGCUCUGAGCAGCUUCCAGUGGUGACCUUGAGUCCUCAUGGUGACCCAGAGAGGUUGGCCACAUUAUUCUGCACUUCGCAAAUAAGGGAACUGAGGCACUAAAAGGUGAGCCCAUGCGGAGGUGUACCCGGCUACUGAGAGGCGUCUGGGGACCUCGGGAUCCAGACAGUGCCUGCAGAUGGGGCAGGAGGUGUACCCGGCUACUGAGAGGCGUCUGGGGACCUGGGAUCCAGACGGUGCCUGCAGUUGGAGCAGGAGGUGUACCCAGCUACUGAGAGGCGUCUGGGGACCUCGGGAUCCAGAUGGUGCCUGCAGAUGGGGCAGGAGGUGUACCCGGCUACUGAGAGGCGUCUGGGGACCUGGGAUCCAGACGGUGCCUGCAGAUGGGGCAGGAGGUGUACCCGGCUACUGAGAGGCGUCUGGGGACCUGGGAUCCAGACGGUGCCUGCAGAUGGGGCAGGAGGUGUACCCGGCUACUGAGAGGCGUCUGGGGACCUGGGAUCCAGACGGUGCCUGCAGAUGGAGCAGGAGGUGUACCCGGCUACUGAGAGGCGUCUGGGGACCUGGGAUCCAGACGGUGCCUGCAGAUGGGGCAGGAGGUGUACCCGGCUACUGAGAGGCGUCUGGGGACCUCGGGAUCCAGAUGGUGCCUGCAGAUGGGGCAGGAGGUGUACCCGGCUACUGAGAGGCGUCUGGGGACCUGGGAUCCAGACGGUGCCUGCAGAUGGGGCAGGAGGUGUACCCGGCUACUGAGAGGCGUCUGGGGACCUGGGAUCCAGACGGUGCCUGCAGAUGGGGCAGGAGGUGUACCCGGCUACUGAGAGGCGUCUGGGGACCUGGGAUCCAGACGGUGCCUGCAGAUGGGAAGCAUCUUCCCAGGACGCCGGGUGCUGAGGUGGAAUGAACCCUCCCCUCCCCUCUGAGCUCCUCUCUGGGUCUUUCUGGGUCUCUGUAUCUACUUAGUUCAGCUCCAGUUCUACCUCAGAGCACACCUGUACCCUAGGGAGGUCCAGAAGCAGGCUGCAAGGGACGGAUUUCACGUCCUGAGUGACCACUUCAAUCACAACUGACACAGGAGGUGGCUUUAGUGAUUUCAUUUUUUUUUUCUGUUCAUUUCUGCCAUUUAUUUUUUCUAGUGCAUUAUGACCACACACAGUAGUGGGCUUCAUCGUGACAGGUUUGUACGUACAGCAUGAUUUGGUCCAUUUCAUUAACCAUGUCCCCUGUCCUUUCUACCCUGCUGUUGUGGUUUAGAUGUGAGGUGUCCCCCAGAAGUUCAUGUGACAAAGUGGGAAGGUUUAGAGGGGAAUAAUUGGGUGUGGGAGCCUCGACCUAAUCAGGGCAUUAACCGA